rnacentral:rRNA from 1 species
UACGGGGGGGGCAAGCGUUGUUCGGAAUUACUGGGCGUAAAGGGCUCGUAGGCGGCCAACUAAGUCGGACGUGAAAUCCCCAGGCUCAACCUGGGAACUGCGUCCGAUACUGGAUGGCUUGAAUCCGGGAGAGGGAUGCAGAAUUCCUGGUGUAGCGGUGAAAUGCGUAGAUAUCAGGAGGAACACCUGCGGUGUAGACGGCUUACUGGACCAUAACUGACGCUGAGGCACGAAAGCGUGGGUAGCGAACAGG